GGGCACGUGGUAAGGUCAUCACAUCUUACAGCAAUGUGAGGUUUCCGGUUCGAUUCCGGGAGUGCCCA
rnacentral:tRNA from 1 species